AUGGAUACUUCUGGUUGCCCCUUUGGUGAGGGUUGCCAUUUUAUCCAUUACUUUCUUAGUGGCUACCAGGCCGUUUAAAAAUGACCAACCUCCUGGAAGUAUGAUGAUGGAUGGGUCACCUACACCCGUCGUGAAGACUCGCUUGUGCAACAAGUACAACACUGCAAAGGGAUGCAAACGGGGGACAAAUGCUACUUUGCACAUGGUGAAAGGGAGCUUGGCAAGUCUAUGAUGGACAACUAUAUGCCACCUCAAUCGAACCAAGACCCACUGGUUAUUUUGUGCCUCCACCUAUGGCUAACCCUGGCUUGGCCACUCUAACUAGAUUCAGCGCUUCUGCCACAACCAAGAUCAAUGUUGAUGCAUCCUUUGCAGGUAGCAUCAUUGGGAGGGGUGGAGCUAACACAAAGCAAAUAUCUUUCGUCAUAGGAGCCAAGCUGGCCAUCUGAGACCAUGAAUCAUACACCAGCUUGAAAACAUUGAGCUUGAGGGCACCUUUAUCAGAUCAGGAACGCUAGCGCUAUGGUCAGUGAGUUGAUUGUAUGUGUCAGUGGCAGUGCUCCCCCGUAGGUCAAGAACCCAGCUGAUAGAACUCAUCAUGGUGGAGGCAUAGGAAGAAACUUCAAGACCAAGAUGUGUGAGAACUUAGUGAAAGGGUUGUGCUCUUUUGGCGGCAAAUGCCACUUUGCACACGGUGAGAGUGAGCUGUGCAAGCCUACUGCUGCUUGA